rnacentral:rRNA from 1 species
AUUGAACGCUGGCGGCAGGCUUAACACAUGCAAGUCGAGCGGGGGAAGGUAGCUUGCUACCGGACCUAGCGGCGGACGGGUGAGUAAUGCUUAGGAAUCUGCCUAUUAGUGGGGGACAACAUCUCGAAAGGGAUGCUAAUACCGCAUACGUCCUACGGGAGAAAGCAGGGGAUCUUCGGACCUUGCGCUAAUAGAUGAGCCUAAGUCGGAUUAGCUAGUUGGUGGGGUAAAGGCCUACCAAGGCGACGAUCUGUAGCGGGUCUGAGAGGAUGAUCCGCCACACUGGGACUGAGACACGGACCAGACUCCUACGGGAGGCAGCAGUGGGGAAUAUUGGACAAUGGGGGGAACCCUGAUCCAGCCACGCCGCGUGUGUGAAGAAGGCCUUAUGGUUGUAAAGCACUUUAAGCGAGGAGGAGGCUACUUUAGUUAAUACCUAGAGAUAGUGGACGUUACUCGCAGAAUAAGCACCGGCUAACUCUGUGCCAGCCGCCGCAGUAA